rnacentral:lncRNA from 10 species
UUCUUCCUGCUAGCUACAGAGGUGGUGCAGGUGCGGUCCCACACGUGUUUUUCCUCUCCCCAGGCCCUCUCUCUAUCUGCCUAACCAGCGUCCGACUGCCUCCUCUAUCAAAGGUUCCUCUUCCUUUCAAAUAUCAGACAGCAAACAAAGAAUGUUGGGGCCACACAAGCAGAGAACACCAUGUCUUCAGAUCUCUUCACAGCCUUGUCCUCCAGAGUUUAGAAGUGGAGGGAAAAGAUUAAAGGCAAUCUUCUUGUUUUGCUAUUUGUCCUUGGACCUAAUCUGGACCUAAUUUGGACACACAGGCUAACGAAGGCCGUGAGUGUGAGUUGUCCAGGUCCUUGGCAACAAAGAAUUGAACAAAAUGCACAAAGUAACAAAGGAACAAAACAGAGGGAGGAAGCAUCAAAAGCGGAAAUUUAUUAAGGUAAGAAAUAGGGUGGGUAUGGGCUUGAGCAAGUGGCUCAAGGACCCAGUUACGAAGUUUUCUGGGUUUUUAGUACUCCUUUUGAGGUCCCUAUCAGCUACCACUGAUAUGGAUUAAGGAUUUGGUCUGUGGCUAAUUAAAGGCUUAGGAGAAUUGGCACGCUAUGCGGAUGAAGGAAUGCAGGUGCUUGGCCUGCAGCCACUCCAAGGCACUUUCCCUUUCUACCUGAGAAGUGGUAGAAAGGGGAGGGUUGUAGGGACAGUAGCCUUUGAUCCUUUGCUAUUCAGGUGUGGGGAGAUGGGACUUUUUCUUUUGGUUUAGCUGUUGGAAGUUUGCCUUAAUUGGCCUUAGGUUUCCUGCCUCCAGACCUUGGUGUUUUUUCUUUUAGGAAGUCAGCACAAAUUGGCCUUAAGUUCUCUGCCUCCAUACCCCAUUCUCCUGCCUCCCUUCUGUACAAACCAUUUGUUAUACAUAGUUCAUCUUAAACUCACCUGGUAAUUGGGGAGGCCUUCUGUGUAUGCUGGUUGGUUAUAUGCAAAGAAAAAAUAAACUUCCAACAUCAUGAUAGGAGGCAGUUUUGCAACUUAGAGCCAGGUGCCUGU